ensembl:lncRNA
CAGCUAUCUCACACACACCUGUCUUACACACAGCUAUCUCACACACACCUGUCUUACACACAGCUCUCACACACACCUGUCUUACACACAGCUAUCUCACACACACCUGUCUUACACACAGCUAUCUCACAAACACCUGUCUUACACACAGCUCACACACACCUGUCUCUCACACACACCUGUCUCUCACACACACCUGUCUCUCACACACACCUGUCUCACACACACCUGUCUCACACACACCUGCGGACUGUAGGGCCUGAGUUAGAGCAUGGACCAGAAGAAGCUCAUAAAAAUAUAAUUCUUAAUAAAGUAGGGCUGAGGGGGACGCAACUAAAGGGUUAAAUAAGAUUCUCUCUCUUAGCUUCCUCUAUAUAGUAACCUGAAGGUAGUGGACAGGACAGCAGCUUCCUCUAUAUAGUAACCUGAAGGUAGUGGACAGGACAGCAGCUUCCUCUAUAUAGUAUCCUGAAGACAGUGGACAGGACAGCAGCUUCCUCUAUAUAGUAACCUGAAGGUAGUGGACAGGACAGCAGCUUCCUCUAUAUAGUAACCUGAAGGUAGUGGACAGGAGAGCAACUUCCUCUAUAUAGUAACCGGAAGGUAGUGGACAGGACAGGAGCUUCAUCUAUAUAGUAACCUGAAGGUAGUGGACAGGACAGGAGCUUCCUCUAUAUAGUAACCUGAAGGUAGUGGACAGGACAGGAGCUUCCUCUAUAUAGUAACCUGAAGGUAGUGGACAGGACUGCAGCUUCCUCUAUAUAGUAACCUGAAGGCAGUGGACAGGUGAAACUAACAGCUUCCUGUCUAUAGUAACCUGAAGGCAGUGGACAGGUGAAACUAACUGCUCCCUGUAUAUAGUAACCUGAAGGCAGAGGACAGGUGAAACUAACAGCUUCCUGUCUAUAGUUACCUGAGGGCAGAGGACAGGUGAAACUAACAGCUUCCUGUCUAUAGUUACCUGAAGGCAGAGGACAGGUAAAACUAACUCCUUCCUGUCUAUAGUUACCUGAAGGCAGAGGACAGGUGAAACUAACAGCUUCCUGUCUAUAGUUACCUGAAGGCAGAGGACAGGUGAAACUAACUGCUCCCUGUAUAUAGUUACCUGAAGGUAGAGGACAGGUGAAACUAACAGCUUCCUGUCUAUAGUUACCUGAAGGCAGAGGACAGGUGAAACUUUAAAUUAAGGCCAGCUGGGUUGACCAGGAGAGGAAGCCACAGUCGACGCUACUUUCUCAAUUCCUCCUCUAGGCCUCAUGGCACAGCUCCACAUCAAAACAACACUGUCCACAGUAUCUUUCCCAGCCCCCUUGGCUCCUUCACCCUAAGGCAUUAGUGUAGUUCUGACAGGAUUGGAUACAUGUAAAAACAUAGCCACAUUUCCACCUCGCCCAUCAGGGUUGUAUUCAUUAAUAAACACCGUAACAAAAUGUACUGCAGUAGAAGAUUGGAGAAAAAAAAAGUGUUUCUUAUUGUAAAAGUUCAGGUAGAUCCCUCCCGGUUUCAGUCUGUUUUGUUCCGUUCGGUGACUAAUGAACAUGACCUACUUUCACACAGUAGUUCCAUAUAGAACCGCUUCUGUAUCCUGUGAAUAUGACGAAUAAAGUUUGAUUUCCUUUUUGAUACCUACGCAAUUUUUUCAGAUCGAGGGCAUUUAACCCUUUCUAUCCCCUCACCUCCCCAGUCCCAAAUGGAACCCUAUAUAGUGCACCACAUAGGGAAUAGGGUGCCGAGAUGGGACGUUACCCACAGGCACAGAUCUGAGACCAGUUUUAAACCUACCCCUCAAAAGGGGCGUUACCCACAGGCACAGAUCUGAGACCAGUUUUAAGCAGACCCCUCAAAAGGGGCGUUACCCACAGGCACAAAUCUGAGACCAGUUUUAUGCAGACCCCUCAAAAGGG